CCAUCCAGCCUUCUGCCUUGCUGAUUGAUGAUUGAAAAAAAAUCACCUAUUUUGUUAUUAUGACUGUGGAAUGUCUUUUGUUCAUUUUAAUAUUUGUGUCACCAAAAGGAUCAACGUGGAAUGGAUAUGGCAUUAAAGGAGAAUGUCAAAUACUGCAUGGGAUGGCUAAGGCCUGUUCCACACAUUCUGGGGUGCCCCUGUGAUAAUAAUAGGUGCUGAUAAACUUCCAUGUUGAGAAAGUUCACAUAUGGAGAUGCUUUCUUCUUCGUGGACUGAUGCAUAGUCCCCAAAACCUUCUUCAACACGGCAUCAGCGCAAUCUCCUUUGACCCACCCAUUUCCCCCAAAAUCCCUUCCUCAGAAAAAUUCAUCAUCCCACCUCUCUACAUUAAAAGCACCUUAACCUUCUAA
rnacentral:lncRNA from 1 species